ACUCCUACGGGAGGCAGCAGUGGGGAAUCUUGCUCAAUGGGCGCAAGCCUGAAGCAGCAACGUCGCGUGCGGGACGAAGGCCUUCGGGUUGUAAACCGCUUUCAGCAGGGACGAUGAUGACGGUACCUGCAGAAGAAGCCCCGGCCAACUACGUGCCAGCAGCUGCGGUAAUACGUAGGGGGCGAGCGUUGUCCGGAUUUAUUGGGCGUAAAGAGCUCGUAGGCGGUUUGGCAAGUCGGGUGUGAAAACUCCGGGCUCAACUCGGGGACGCCACUCGAUACUGCCAUGACUUGAGUCCGGUAGGGGAGUGCGGAAUUCCUGGUGUAGCGGUGAAAUGCGCAGAUAUCAGGAGGAACACCGGUGGCGAAGGCGGCACUCUGGGCCGGUACUGACGCUGAGGAGCGAAAGCGUGGGGAGCGAACAGGAUUAGAUACCCUGGUAGUCCACGCCGUAAACGUUGGGCACUAGGUGUGGGGCUCGAUC
rnacentral:rRNA from 1 species